AGCGUACACGGUGGAUGCCCUGGCAGUCAGAGGCGAUGAAGGACGUGCUAAUCUGCGAUAAGCGUCGGUAAGGUGAUAUGAACCGUUAUAACCGGCGAUUUCCGAAUGGGGAAACCCAGUGUGAUUCGUCACACUAUCAUUAACUGAAUCCAUAGGUUAAUGAGGCGAACCGGGGGAACUGAAACAUCUAAGUACCCCGAGGAAAAGAAAUCAACCGAGAUUCCCCCAGUAGCGGCGAGCGAACGGGGAGCAGCCCAGAGCCUGAAUCAGUGUGUGUGUUAGUGGAAGCGUCUGGAAAGGCGCGCGAUACAGGGUGACAGCCCCGUACACAAAAAUGCACAUGCUGUGAGCUCGAUGAGUAGGGCGGGACACGUGGUAUCCUGUCUGAAUAUGGGGGGACCAUCCUCCAAGGCUAAAUACUCCUGACUGACCGAUAGUGAACCAGUACCGUGAGGGAAAGGCGAAAAGAACCCCGGCGAGGGGAGUGAAAAAGAACCUGAAACCGUGUACGUACAAGCAGUGGGAGCCUCUUAAUGGGGUGACUGCGUACCUUUUGUAUAAUGGGUCAGCGACUUAUAUUCUGUAGCAAGGUUAACCGAAUAGGGGAGCCGAAGGGAAACCGAGUCUUAACUGGGCGUUAAGUUGCAGGGUAUAGACCCGAAACCCGGUGAUCUAGCCAUGGGCAGGUUGAAGGUUGGGUAACACUAACUGGAGGACCGAACCGACUAAUGUUGAAAAAUUAGCGGAUGACUUGUGGCUGGGGGUGAAAGGCCAAUCAAACCGGGAGAUAGCUGGUUCUCCCCGAAAGCUAUUUAGGUAGCGCCUCGUGAAUUCAUCUCCGGGGGUAGAGCACUGUUUCGGCAAGGGGGUCAUCCCGACUUACCAACCCGAUGCAAACUGCGAAUACCGGAGAAUGUUAUCACGGGAGACACACGGCGGGUGCUAACGUCCGUCGUGAAGAGGGAAACAACCCAGACCGCCAGCUAAGGUCCCAAAGUCAUGGUUAAGUGGGAAACGAUGUGGGAAGGCCCAGACAGCCAGGAUGUUGGCUUAGAAGCAGCCAUCAUUUAAAGAAAGCGUAAUAGCUCACUGGUCGAGUCGGCCUGCGCGGAAGAUGUAACGGGGCUAAACCAUGCACCGAAGCUGCGGCAGCGACACUAUGUGUUGUUGGGUAGGGGAGCGUUCUGUAAGCCUGCGAAGGUGUACUGUGAGGUAUGCUGGAGGUAUCAGAAGUGCGAAUGCUGACAUAAGUAACGAUAAAGCGGGUGAAAAGCCCGCUCGCCGGAAGACCAAGGGUUCCUGUCCAACGUUAAUCGGGGCAGGGUGAGUCGACCCCUAAGGCGAGGCCGAAAGGCGUAGUCGAUGGGAAACAGGUUAAUAUUCCUGUACUUGGUGUUACUGCGAAGGGGGGACGGAGAAGGCUAUGUUGGCCGGGCGACGGUUGUCCCGGUUUAAGCGUGUAGGCUGGUUUUCCAGGCAAAUCCGGAAAAUCAAGGCUGAGGCGUGAUGACGAGGCACUACGGUGCUGAAGCAACAAAUGCCCUGCUUCCAGGAAAAGCCUCUAAGCAUCAGGUAACAUCAAAUCGUACCCCAAACCGACACAGGUGGUCAGGUAGAGAAUACCAAGGCGCUUGAGAGAACUCGGGUGAAGGAACUAGGCAAAAUGGUGCCGUAACUUCGGGAGAAGGCACGCUGAUACGUAGGUGAAGUCCCUUGCGGAUGGAGCUGAAAUCAGUCGAAGAUACCAGCUGGCUGCAACUGUUUAUUAAAAACACAGCACUGUGCAAACACGAAAGUGGACGUAUACGGUGUGACGCCUGCCCGGUGCCGGAAGGUUAAUUGAUGGGGUUAGCGGUAACGCGAAGCUCUUGAUCGAAGCCCCGGUAAACGGCGGCCGUAACUAUAACGGUCCUAAGGUAGCGAAAUUCCUUGUCGGGUAAGUUCCGACCUGCACGAAUGGCGUAAUGAUGGCCAGGCUGUCUCCACCCGAGACUCAGUGAAAUUGAACUCGCUGUGAAGAUGCAGUGUACCCGCGGCAAGACGGAAAGACCCCGUGAACCUUUACUAUAGCUUGACACUGAACAUUGAGCCUUGAUGUGUAGGAUAGGUGGGAGGCUUUGAAGUGUGGACGCCAGUCUGCAUGGAGCCGACCUUGAAAUACCACCCUUUAAUGUUUGAUGUUCUAACGUUGGCCCCUGAUCGGGGUUGCGGACAGUGUCUGGUGGGUAGUUUGACUGGGGCGGUCUCCUCCUAAAGAGUAACGGAGGAGCACGAAGGUUGGCUAAUCCUGGUCGGACAUCAGGAGGUUAGUGCAAUGGCAUAAGCCAGCUUGACUGCGAGCGUGACGGCGCGAGCAGGUGCGAAAGCAGGUCAUAGUGAUCCGGUGGUUCUGAAUGGAAGGGCCAUCGCUCAACGGAUAAAAGGUACUCCGGGGAUAACAGGCUGAUACCGCCCAAGAGUUCAUAUCGACGGCGGUGUUUGGCACCUCGAUGUCGGCUCAUCACAUCCUGGGGCUGAAGUAGGUCCCAAGGGUAUGGCUGUUCGCCAUUUAAAGUGGUACGCGAGCUGGGUUUAGAACGUCGUGAGACAGUUCGGUCCCUAUCUGCCGUGGGCGCUGGAGAACUGAGGGGGGCUGCUCCUAGUACGAGAGGACCGGAGUGGACGCAUCACUGGUGUUCGGGUUGUCAUGCCAAUGGCACUGCCCGGUAGCUAAAUGCGGAAGAGAUAAGUGCUGAAAGCAUCUAAGCACGAAACUUGCCCCGAGAUGAGUUCU
rnacentral:rRNA from 1 species